rnacentral:tRNA from 1 species
GGGGAUUUAGCUCAGUGGUAGAGCGCUUGCCUAGCAAGCGUGAGGCCCUGGGUUCGGUCCCCAGCUCCU